rnacentral:ribozyme from 1 species
UGCCCAGCAACUCCUAUCCCUACCUCCACGCGGUACCGGCCGGAAACUAUUUAUGUGUGAUCUUAAAAUUACACUGCUGAUUGCUGAGAGAAAAGU